UACAUGCAAGUCGAGCGAUCCCUUCGGGGAUAGCGGCGGACGGGUGAGUAACACGUAGGCAACCUGCCUGUAAGAUCGGGAUAACUACCGGAAACGGUAGCUAAAACCGAAUAGGUGAAACGCUCGCAUGAGCGAAUCAAGAAACACGGCGCAAGCUGUGGCUUACAGAUGGGCCUGCGGCGCAUUAGCUAGUAGGUGAGGUAACGGCUCACCUAGGCGACGAUGCGUAGCCGACCUGAGAGGGUGAACGGCCACACUGGGACUGAGACACGGCCCAGACUCCUACGGGAGGCAGCAGUAGGGAAUCUUCCGCAAUGGACGCAAGUCUGACGGAGCAACGCCGCGUGAGUGAUGAAGGUUUUCGGAUCGUAAAGCUCUGUUGCCCUAGACGAACAGCAUGGGGAGUCACUGCCCUGUGUGUGACGGUAUAGGAGAAGAAAGCCCCGGCUAACUACGUG
rnacentral:rRNA from 1 species